GACGAACCGAGCGAACGUUGUUCGGAAUCACUGGGCUUAAAGGGCGCGUAGGCAGGUAUUCAAGUCUAUGGUGAAAUCCGGCAGCUCAACUGUCGAAUUGCCGUGGAUACUGGGUAUCUCGAGGGAGGUAGGGGCGUGCGGAACUAAUGGUGGAGCGGUGAAAUGCGUUGAUAUCAUUAGGAACUCCGGUGGCGAAGGCGGCACGCUGGACCUCUUCUGACGCUGAGGCGCGAAAGCCAGGGGAGCAAACGGG
rnacentral:rRNA from 1 species